rnacentral:rRNA from 1 species
CCUACGGGAGGCAGCAGUGGGGAAUAUUGCACAAUGGGGGAAACCCUGAUGCAGCGACGCCGCGUGAGUGAAGAAGUAAUUCGUUAUGUAAGGCUCUAUCGCCAGGGAGGAAAAUGAGGGUACCUGAGAAAAAAGCCCCGCUUAACUACGGGCCAGCGGCCGCGGUAAGACGUAGGGGGCAAGCGUUAUCCGGAUUUACUGGGUGUAAAGGGAGCGUAGACGGCAGUGAAAGUCUGGAGUGAAAGGCGGGGGCGCAACCCCCGGACUGCUCUGGAAACUGUACGGCUGGAGUGCAGGAGAGGUAAGUGGAAUUCCUAGUGUAGCGGUGAAAUGCGUAGAUAUUAGGAGGAACACCAGUGGCGAAGGCGGCUUACUGGACUGUAACUGACGUUGAGGCUCGAAAGCGUGGGGAGCAAACAGGAUUAGAUACCCGAGUAGUC